AGAAGUGUGAAUGGGGCAGCAGACUACUCGGGCAGACGUUGCUGUAAUGUAACUGAGAGAGCAUUGAACAGAAAUACGCUGUGCACCCUUGGAUAGAAGAGCUCUGGUACUGUGGUGCGGAUGUUUUGCGCUUUUUAGGAUUUAUUUUACUACUGGGAAGCAACCGGGACAUUUGAGCUGACUCGCUGACAAUACAUGUAUUUCAGUUUAUGACUAUUAUUAUUAUUAUUAUUAUUAUUAAUAUUAUUAUUAUUAUUAUUAUUAUUAGUAGUAGUAGUAGUAGUAGUAGUAGUAGUAGUAGUAGUAGUAGUAGUAGUAGUAGUAGUAGUAGUAGUAUUUAUUUAAAUUAAUUUGCUAGUAUAUCUUUAAUCGACUGCACUGCCUUUCCUCCUUCUCGUGGGGUUCUCCAAUCCUUCUGUGCAAGACAAAUGCAAACUUCAAAUCGGUAUGUUGAGAGCCAGGACUGGAUUUUAAUAUACCAAUCAAGCUGAAGACCGCUCCACUGAAACGUGACAUCUCAAUACAACUCUGCAGGUAAGAGUUGUGAACUUUACAUCUGGAAUCAAAUAAAGACAAGGGAAAACACAAACAUAUUUGAAAAUGAUAUUGUUAGACUUUCUUCUGCAUCACUAACUUGAUUGUGGCAUUUGGUGACAAGGAUUGACAACGCAUUUUAUGGAAGAAGACGGUUUUCUUUCUAGCUAUGGAAUGGAAAAUAGGCUUAAAGAAAACUGUUCUAGUUAUUUCCCAGAAUAUUUACAUCUGAGUUACAUCGUGCCGCCCAAGUCAAAGGCCGGGACGCGUUAAAGGACGAAAAGGUAUUAUUUCUGUAGGAUCAGGAGCACUGUACACGCACGCAUAUUCAAUAAUGCACUUUCUCAUUUUAGUUAUUGUAUUGUUGUUUUUUUUCUUCCAAUACAAGGGAAACUAAAAGCAUGCAUUUGUUAUUAUUUUAAUACACAACUCCGUGAUCAAAAGUGCAAUUUAUACGAAAAACAGCCACAGCCGGUGUUAUUUAUUGAACUAUCCUACCAGAGAAAAAAGACAUCUGACUAAUCUGAGCAUUGUUAAAGAUUAAUCACAGUUUAAAAAGAGAGCGAGUGAAGAGAGAGAGAGAGAGAAAGAGAAAGAGAGAAUGAAUGUAGGCGAGUAUGAAAAGCACUACAGGUUUAAAUAAAUAAACAAUUAAAUAAUACGUUUCUUGGUUUUCAGUGAAAACGGAUUGAUUCCCAUUAGUGACCCAGAAACUAAUACACCAUGUCCAGCUUUUAAACAGACGGCUGCCUCUUCAGACGGGACAGGCUGCAUCACAGGAGCAGAUAAACACGGUCAAACUGAUCAACCCAGACACGCCUCAGCGGUCAUGAACAAGAACAAAUCAGAUAAACGCAGUGCAAAUAUGAUCGAUAGUCUAUUUCCGUAACAUCAUAUAUAAGGCUAAUGACUGCCUAAGCCACUGUUUGCUGAUUAAGUAGGUUUGGCCAUAUGUAGAGAAGACUGGCUUACAUUCUGCACUGGAUCCUAUACAAAUCCAACUGGAUGACGGAAAAUACACCAAAUAAAAGCGGCUCCUUUAGCAAUGUAGACAUUGUCUUGCUGGGCUUUUUGCUUCUUGACCGGAGCUCAUUUAGGAUUGGAAUAGUUAUGGAAAGAAAAACUAGCUGCAAGUCAUGCUGUUUUGCCCACUGAAGAGGAUGUAUCAGCAUGCCGCUCAACAUGAUCCUUGAUCAUUAUUCCACAGUAAAUAGAUGUAUUGCAUCAGGGGAGUUAUGACUUCUGCUUUUGGAGGAGAAAUGAUGGGUUUUAACAUCACAGCAGUUAAUGAUAGUGAUAUUGCAAAGAAAGACUCGUCAGUUCGAGUUUUGACUGGCUGCUUUCUGUCACUCUUGAUACUGACGACUCUACUGGGAAACACAUUGGUCUGUGUUGCUGUUACUAAGUUUCGUCACUUAAGGUCUAAAGUAACUAACUUCUUUGUAAUAUCCCUGGCUGUUUCUGAUCUGUUAGUUGCAAUUUUGGUGAUGCCUUGGAAAGCUGUGACAGAAAUAGCUGGGUUCUGGCCCUUUGGUUCCUUCUGUAACGUCUGGGUGGCUUUUGAUAUAAUGUGUUCCACUGCCUCUAUUUUAAACCUUUGUAUUAUCAGCGUGGACAGAUAUUGGGCUAUCUCAAGCCCAUUCAGAUACGAGAGAAAGAUGACCCCAAAAGUGGCAUUUAUCAUGAUAAGUGUUGCAUGGACCUUGUCAGUGCUGAUCUCUUUCAUUCCAGUGCAACUGAACUGGCACAAGGCUCAAGCUACCAGCUUUACGGCAUUCAAUGUCAGCUAUGAAGGUUCGUUGAUGGAUAACUGCGACUCGAGCCUGAACCGAACCUAUGCCAUCUCUUCUUCUUUGAUUAGCUUUUACAUACCAGUUGCAAUCAUGCUAGUCACCUAUACUCGGAUUUACAGAAUUGCCCAGAAACAAAUCAGGCGGAUCUCUGCCUUGGAGAGGGCUGCAGAACAUGCCAAGAAUCGACACAGCAGCACUAUGGACUCUGAAAGCUCAUUUAAAAUGUCGUUCAAAAGAGAAACCAAAGUUUUAAAAACACUGUCGGUUAUAAUGGGGGUCUUUGUGUGCUGCUGGUUGCCCUUUUUUAUACUGAACUGCAUGGUGCCCUUUUGUGAACACGCUUUGCCAAGUGGAGAUGCUGACUUUCCUUGCAUCAGUUCCACCACCUUUGAUGUAUUCGUCUGGUUUGGGUGGGCUAACUCUUCGCUGAACCCUAUCAUCUAUGCCUUUAAUGCAGAUUUUCGCAAGGCUUUCUCUGUUCUCUUGGGAUGCCACAGGCUGUGCCCCACAAGCAACGUCAUAGAGACUGUGAGCAUUAACAACAAUGGAGCAGCUGCAUCGUCUUUCCAUUAUCAACCAAAAGGAUUCAUCCCUAAAGAAGAAAAUGUGACCUACCUGAUCCCUCACUCCAUUCUUUGCCAGGAAGAUAAAACUGAAAGGAAAGAGGAGGACGAUUCUGGGAUUAAGACCCUGGACAGAUUGUCUCCAGCUGUUUCAGGUACCUUGGACAGUGACAUAGAUGUUUCUUUAGAAAAGAUCAACCCUAUAACUCAAAAUGGACAACAAAAACAUGAGCAAAAUCAACACAGUGCCGUGUGAGACCGCAACACAUUAACAUGGGACAUUAUCUUUAAAUGACUUGAACAUUAAAAUAGCCUGAAUGCAGCUGUUGCAGUAAAGCCUAACUGAAGUCCUUAAUUAAACCCUGUUUUAUUAACAAAGACUCUGGAGUCCACAGAAUGUUCAAAGAACUACGGCACUUUAUCCUGACAGAAAAAAAAAAAACACAAUCUGCAAAAUACUUUCUACAUUUGUACAAUAAUAAUAAUAAUAAUAAUAAUAAUAAUAAUAAUAAUAAUAAUAAUAAUAAUAAUAAUAAUAAUAAUAAAAUAACCAAUACAAAAAUAUGAACAACAAAGAAAAGUAAAAUGUAACUUGCAUGUGUUGAGAUAUUUAAAAUGAAAUUACUGGUUCAUAACACAUGGGGGUGUCAAAAAAAAGUAGCAAAUUAGCAAACUUCAUGUUAGCUAGGUAAACAGUGCUUUAAAUAUAUACAGUAUAUUUUCAAUACUUUUCCUAUUUUAGGUUAAAUGGAUUGGGAUAUUUUGCAGUGAAUUGUGGAACUCCAAGCCAAUGGCUCAAACAAGACAGAAUGGAGAUGGAGAUAUGCAAUAAGUGUGUUUCCAGUUCAGUGCAGCUGUGCUGUUUGCAAACCGCAUCCCGCAACUGGAAGCCUCCUUCGUCACAGCUGCCUUGGUAGAAGAUAAGGGCAAAAUCCUGGACUGUACAGUCAUUUUAGUGCCUCUAUAUGAACUGUAAUUACUGUAUACUAACUCACACUUAUCAGAGUUAAAUAGUAACUAUACUGCAACUAAACCACUACAUGCAGUGUAAUAAAUGCCAUGUGAAAAAAAUAGAUAUAUCAUUAUUUUGUUUAUGCCUGUGACUAUCAUAGAAUAAUUUAUACAUGAAUAUCAAACAUUGAUUGGGGUAAACCAGUGCCACUGGUGCUAACUCACCACAUUCCAAAUCUAUUUUGAGAAGUAACACAUGCAGUCACACUUACAGUACCUUAUCAUUUACUGUUAGACUGCUAGGUACAAAGCCCUAAUACAUUUCCUAACUAAAGUGGUUUUGACUUUUCGUAAAAGGCGCUAUUUAACUGAUCGAAACAGCAGCGGGUCUAAACACCGCCAAUGGGAUCAUUCAAAUGUGUGUUUUGAAAAUGAAUCAUCUUACAAUGUAUCUGUCUUCCCUUGUGAUUUACACAUAUUUUUCAGAAAUUCUAAACAAAGACAGUAAGAAAGUCAUUUGAAAGUUUCUUUUAUUUAAAAAUGUAGCACUAUUGCAUGCUUAAUUCUUAUGGGUGAUUUACAAAUCUUUACAAACACAAAUAUACUGUAUUGUAUAACCAUUGUAUUUUGUCAGAUAAUAAUAAUAAAUAAUAAUAAUGAUCAAGAUUGGAAAUAGAUUCAACCAACAGGUUUGCUUACAUCAGUGACAGCCUGAUCAGUGACUGUUUUGACUGUCUGACUACAUUUUGUCCUUUAAUGUUUAUAAGAUUGUGUGAAAAAAAUACCUUCAUUUGCUAAUUGAAUGUCAGAUACCUGAUGCAUUUGUAAUUAUAUUAAACACCCUAACUGUACGGUGUUUUAUAUAGCUGAUCUUAUAGUCCAUAAAUCAGCUGCUUCUUUUAAAUCUGAAGUCAACAAGGACACACAACAAAUUAGAAAAUUGGAUUUCCAUAUAGGGACCCGUUGGCUUCGCCAGAGCACUGCCUUGAGGCUGGGCAUCAUUCAAAUUCACUAGAUUAAAAAUAAAAUCAAGACAUAACCGAAGGCACAAACCUUUAAACAAGCGUAUAUGACCUUGUGUGUCAGAUUAAGCAUUUACACUGAGUGACAACCACAAGUUUAGUGCAAAUCCCAUGGUUUCACUUUGCCAUUAGAAAUGAAAAUAUACCACCUCAGGUGCUGAACUCAAUGGGUUUUCCCAGUGAUUUUAUUGUACCACACUAUGGUAAAUGUGUAUAGUAAUGCAUGAUAAUGUAUUUAAAUAAGGCACCCCACUCUGAAUAAUGAGAUGAGCUUUAUUCACACUGUAUUUACUAAAGGGGAAUAGUUGUAGUGUGCACCUUAAAGUGAGCGAUAAUUAGUUUGUUUGGAAACCAGGCUUUAACCACUGAUAGGCGUACUAUUUAGACCUUUUUUUCUGUGCUAAAAUCUAUCUGGCAUCAUGGAUGCAUCACUUGCAUUAAAGUUUCCAUGGCUAUGGUAAGUGUGAAUAAAUGUAGAUGAAUGUUAUAAUGUAUUAGAUUUUAUUUUAUAGUUCAUUACAUUGGUACAAAUAAUAGAGUGGUUAAAUAAAACACUAGACCAAACAACGGGACAGUAGAUUUUGAUUUAUGGUGCACAUUAGGCUCACUACUUAAUGUGCAGGUUACAGCUACAUUUAGUGCCCUUUCGUAAAUGAGGCCCUUUGUGUAUACAAUACGUAAACCUGAAAGCAGGGUCCUGUUUUAAUGAUUUAGAAUGGAAUUUGUAUGUAAUAAAUUAUUAUUAUUUGUUUAUUUAGCAGACGCCUUUAUCCAAGGCGACUUACAGAGACUAGGGUGUGUGAACUAUGCAUCAGCUGCAGAGUCACUUACAACUACGUCUCACCCGAAAGACGGAGCACAAGGAGGUUAAGUGACUUGCUCAGGGUCACACAAUGAGUCAGUGGCUGAGGUGGGAUUUGAACCGGGGACCUUCUGGUUACAUGCUCCUUUCUUUUACCACUGGACCACACAGCCUCCUCUAAUAAAUGCAUCCAAUAUACAUGUACCAUCUGUAAUGUAUAACUACUGUAUUAAAACAUCAAUUUAAACAAACAAGCUAACUAAAUAACUACAUCCCUGCAUCACUGUUGGUACAUUCUAGGGUUCUAGUCUGUAGAAUGGUGCAGAUUCUAUUCUGUAGAAUCGUGCUGGUUCUAUUCUGUAGAAUCGUGCAGGUUCUAUUCUGUAGAAUCGUGGGAGUUCUGUUCAUUGAACCUGCAAUGUUUGCCUUAGAGGAACGUUUUUUUUAGUGGAUUGAAAUGGUAUUAGCACUUCAUGCUCCCAGUAAUCUUUUAAUAUCCUGACCAUUUAAAAUAGAUCCUGAAUGAUAUGACUUACCUCUUCAAAAUGUGCUCAUUGUGAGGUCAUUGUCAUUUAUUUUAGCAUUUCUAAAUUCAGCUCUAUUGCGUGUUUAAUAAUUGUGUGAUCAUACAAUACAAUAGCAAAAGGCAGUGUUCCAUUUUAAAACUGCACACGGUAUAUUUCAGGGUACCAAAUGAUGACCAGCACAGAUAAAACUGUAUGUCAUGAACAGAACUAAUAAAGCAUUCAAAUCCCAAACGCCAUGCCCAAAUCUGCAUUUGCAUUGCACUAACCUAUAAUACAAUAUUUAUUAAGAUAAAAAAGACUGUAUAAAGAUUACCCUAUCACCGAAGUUCCUCAAUUCACAGCUGAUACUAAAUGCAUAUUGUAUUAGUAGAUUCUGACAACCAUUACAGAAAAGUAAAAGUAAUUUUACAGAAAAUUCUUAAUCCAACCGAUUGAAAAUAUGUGCAGAUUUUUUCUUUAUUUUUUGCUCUACAUGGCAGCUAUAUGCUUCCAGAAUUAUCGGCUGUGUGUCAUGCAGUUCUUAUUUUUUUCUCUCCUCUAAACUGUCAGCUCUUCCAGUCUCUGUUUGUUUAGCAGAAUUUGAUCUGUAAAAUUAAUAUACACACCUCAACCCCAGUCCAUGUUAAAUGGUCAAUCUGAGACAUUAAUUUGAUGGGAGACAGCAUGGUCUUUCUGUGCACACAAGAUAUUUGACUGAAGGGCUUAGUUAAGUAUCUGUUCAAGCAUUGUGGAACACACCAUGACAUUUACUUUCUGUUGCAAGCUCCUGUGGUCUACAUAUGGUUUUCAAAUGUCUUUUUUUUUUUAACAACACCACAAAGGGUUUGGUAUUUGUAUUCACGUGUGCAGGGUCGUUAACCAACUAGGGCAUUUUCGUAUUCAAAUUGCUGAUCUCUAAAUGCACAGCACCUUUUCAGUUUAACCACAUUGCUUACCAGUACGUGGAGGUGUCAUGAAAUUCGUUCAGUAACAAUAGCCUGUCCCAUAUCUAACAAUGACACUUCUGUUAAACUCCCUACAUUUCUGUUUUGCUUGACUUUCUUCAAUUCAAUGCGCAACAAAACAUAGACCCCAAACGGCAACACUAGUGAGCAGUAAAUGUCACUAUAUAUAUUCUCUAAUUCUGAACCAUAUAGCGUAAACCGAACCUCAGCUACAUGGUUAUUAAGUUUUGAUAACAAGCUUUGAGACAUACUGUGAAACACAAUACAAUAAUUUGAACUAUAUACAGUAUAUAUUUAACAUAUAACUUAUACAUAUAAUUUUUAUAUUUAUAAACUGUUCUUAGGCAUUUUAAAGUCAUAAAGUUAUUUAGUAAAGGAUACAAGAAAAAAAAUAGCUCUGUGGCAUAAUGCAGGUUGCUGAUGUCCUCUUUUUCACCCAGCAAAUGUUUAUCACUGAAGGCAGGAAGAGGUCUUGUUUGUUUAGUUUGAAAAGACAGAACGUCUGAGCUACACAAAUCUAAUUUAAAGUCACAGCUGAAAAAAAAAAACUCCUCAGGGAGGGAAAGGAUUUUCAUUUUUUAAUUAAAAGGAUUUUCAUGUUUUCAUUUCAAAGGACUGAUAUGCAGCUUGGCUGUGCCAGUCUGUUUCAGAACUUGGUGGAACCCUGUGUUAUUGUAAUCCAAUCCUGUCAGGAAAUAUGCAUAAGGCAACCUUAUAUCCAGCACUGAACAACCACCUGAGGGGAGCUUUUUUGUGAAAAUGUUAUCUUUGUUCAUUUAUUUGGAAAACGGGGUGACAAGAGAACACCUUAAUGGUAAAAUUGCAGGCUUUUAUAGAAAAUGGUAGUACUGUGGCAGAAAGCAAGCAUGUUUCUAAUCUUUUGCCUUGGAGAGCUGCAGUUCUCAGUCACAUGAUUUAAUACUAAAGUGUUUUCUGUGCUGUCAAGUCUCGACUCUGGUGGGUGGCUGAGGAACACAGAUUGCCAGAGAAACAAGGAACAGAGACAAUGGGUGCUGGGUAUCUUCACAGCCACAGAGCCCAGUGCAGGAAUCACUGUACAUACAGCCUUUAUUUGUAAUCUACAUUUAGCUUUAAUUUGUCAUUUAAAUGCAGAGUCUACAUCCAUUAAACAAUAUGUUUAUUUCAUAAUACCCAAAAGCCACCCUUUUGAGAUUCAUUCUAAAAUAUUAUUACUAUACUUGGAUCUAACCUAAUGCUUUCCCUAGUUCAACAUGUGUUCAUACAUAAGCGCAAAAAUUUGUGAUUGCCCCAUUUACAUUCCAUAGGGCUUGGCGUCAUAAGAAAAACUGAAAAUCAGAAACUGUUUAACUAGAAAUAUUAAAACCCUUAUACCAUUGCAGUGGGUAUUCCACCUUUCACAGAGGUCAAACAGAUAUAAAAGAAAAGAUGAUGGCAGUGCCGCUUGCAUUCUGUGAAAGAAACUACCAUUUCUGAUCCUGAUUUGAAAGGAAUGGCUUGUACUGACAGUGAUAAUGCAUGAUCUAAUCUAUAACUUCAUUAACUUGCUCUGCAGUUCAAGAGCACUGAAAAAAAUAUACAAACUCUCAUUAACAAUGGAUGAGAAUCAGCCUUUCUCCAAACAUUAUUUUAAAUUGGUGAAUUGGAUACCUCUGGUGGGAGGUCAAGCAGCAAUGUGAAUUGCAAUGCAUGGCUGGCGAUUUUGCUGUGUGUGCGUUUUUUUUCUUUUUUACAUGAAAGAAUGGCUUUUCAGUGACAAGCGAUUUGAACAGUACUCUAGAUAAUAUAGCAACAAAAGUAUUUUCAGCUUAAUAUUAUUAAUGUGUUACUAAGAAUACAGUUGAAUGACCACAAAAAAUGUAAUCAUGGUAAACUGAUUUGGUAAAUAUCAUUAUGUUUUGUUAUAUGUUACUAGCUUUCAUGUAUUGAAUUGUGGGUCUUGUUUUUAUCAAACACAAAAAAUAAUUAAAAGUAUUAGUUUGUAACAGUGUCCUUCAUUUGCAUAAUGUAUGCAUGAUUACACACUUCAAUUUCAUUCAACCACAUAAAUGUAAAGGGCUUAACUGACCAGAGCCCUACAUUUACAUAAGGUCAAAUGUUUAUUAUAUACACUGAAGCAUAUAUUACUUUAUACUGUGGUUAGGAAAAAAAAAAGUAUUCUUUAUUUUGUGGAUUGAAUUGUCUGUUGCAUAUUAUUAAUUUUUUUUUUUUUGUUUUUUUUUUUUAAAAGUGCUUUGGGGGUUAAAUUGCACCCAGUGCUAUAAAAAACAAAAACAAAACAAA